rnacentral:tRNA from 1 species
GGUUUGUUGUAUCGAAUUGGUAAGAUAGCGGAUUGUAAAUCCGUGGCCACCGAAAGGGGCAUCUAGGUUCAAGUCCUAGGCAAACCA